rnacentral:rRNA from 1 species
AGGGUUUGAUCCUGGCUCAGAACGAACGUUGGCGGCGUGGUUUAGGCAUGCAAGUCGAACGCGAACGUCCCUUCGGGGGCUAUUAGAGUGGCGAAAGGGUGAGUAAUCCAUGGACAAUCUACCUAGUGCUGGGGGAUAGCCACUGGAAACGGUGGGUAAUACCGCAUACGUCCGACGGGUCGCAUGGCCUGUUGGAGAAAGGUGCUUCGGUGCCGGCAUUAGAGGGGUCCAUGGCCUAUCAGCUUGUUGGUGAGGUAACGGCUCACCAAGGCGAUGACGGGUAGCCGGACUGAGAGGUUGACCGGCCACACCGGGACUGAGACACUGCCCGGACACCUACGGGUGGCUGCAGUCGAGAAUCUUCGGCGAUGCGCGAAAGCGUGACCGAGCGACGCCGCGUGCGGGAAGAAGGCCUUCGGGUUGUAAACCGCUUUUGGGGGGUAUGAAUAAGCGUAGGUAACGCUGCGUGAUGACGUCAACCCCUGAAUAAGCCCCGGCUAAGCUCGUGCCAGCAGCCGCGGUAAUACGAGCGGGGCAAACGUUGUUCGGAAUCACUGGGCAUAAAGGGCGCGUAGGCGGACCUUUAAGUCCGGGUUGAAAGCCCUCGGCUCAACCGAGGAAUUGGCCCGGAUACUGGAAGUCUUGAGGACGGCAGGGGGGUGUGGAACUACUGGUGGAGCGGUGAAAUGCGUAGAUAUCAGUAGGAACACCGGUGGCGAAGGCGACACCCUGGGCCGUAUCUGACGCUGAGGCGCGAAAGCGUGGGGAGCAAACAGGAUUAGAUACCCUGGUAGUCCACGCUGUAAACGAUGGGCACUAGGAAGGGGGGUUCUACCGGCCUCUCUUUCGUAGCUAAUGCAAUAAGUGCCCCGCCUGGGGAGUACUCGCAAGGGUGAAACUCAAAGGAAUUGACGGGGGCUCACACAAGCGGUGGAGCAUGUGGUUUAAUUCGAAUCAACGCGCAGAACCUUACCCAGCCUUGACAUGUGCGAAAGCGCCGGGAAGUAGGUACCCGAAAGGGUGGCCCAACGGUAACCAGUCCGGAACCCGGUACAGGUGUUGCAUGGCUGUCGUCAGCUCGUGUCGUGAGAUGUCGGGUUAAGUCCCAUAACGAGCGAAACCCUUGCCGCUAGUUGCCAACAGGUAAUGCUGGGGACUCUAGCGGGACUGCCUCGAAAGACGGAGGAAGGUGGGGAUGACGUCAAGUCAUCAUGGCCCUUGCGGCUGGGGCUACACACGUGCUACAAUGGGACGGACAAAGGGUCGCAAUCCCGCGAGGGGGAGCUAAUCCCAAAAACCGUUCCUCAGUUCGGAUCGUAGGCUGCAAUUCGCCUACGUGAAGCCGGAAUCGCUAGUAAUCCCGGGUCAGCCACACCGGGGUGAAUAUGUUCCUGAGCCUUGUACACACCGCCCGUCAAGCCACGAAAGCUGGCAGCGCCCGAAGUCGUGUGUCUAACCUUUCGGGGAAGGCCACGCCCACGGUGAGGCCGGUGAUUGGGACUAAGUCGAAACAAGGUA